CCCUUAGAUGUUCUGGGCAGCACGCGCGCUACAAUGGUCUUCGCAAACGGAUGCAUUCUCGAAGGAGAAUGCCAAUCUUGGAAUCUAUGCCUUGGUCGGGACAGUUGCUUGCAAUUUUUCGACUCGAACCAGGAAUUCCUUGUAAUCGUGAUUCAUCACAUCACGAUGAAUACGUCCCUGCCCUUUGUACACACCGCCCGUCGCUCCUACCGAUCGAAGAGUUAGGUGAAUUGUUUUGAUCGAUAAGAUUUGACUAUGGUCAACUCUCGUUGUGAAAUUCUGUGAAUCUGACCGUUUAGAGGAAGGAAAAGUCGUAACA
rnacentral:rRNA from 1 species